UGGGGAAUAUUGGACAAUGGGCGCAAGCCUGAUCCAGCAAUUCCGCGUGGGUGAAGAAGGUCUUCGGAUUGUAAAGCCCUUUCGUUGGGGACGAUGAUGACGGUACCCAAAGAAGAAGCCCCGGCUAACUUCGUGCCAGCAGCCGCGGUAAUACGAAGGGGGCUAGCGUUGCUCGGAAUGACUGGGCGUAAAGGGCGCGUAGGCGGCACAACUAGUCAGGCGUGAAAUUCCUGGGCUUAACCUGGGGGCUGCGUUUGAUACGGUUGGGCUAGAGGAUGGAAGAGGCUCGUGGAAUUCCCAGUGUAGAGGUGAAAUUCGUAGAUAUUGGGAAGAACACCGGUGGCGAAGGCGGCGAGCUGGUCCAUUACUGACGCUGAGGCGCGAAAGCGUGGGGAGCAAA
rnacentral:rRNA from 1 species